GCCAUGGGGAGGCACAAAAAAGGAAAAGCACUUUUAUUCUAAGACCACUUCCAGGGAUGAAGGAGGAAAGACGUAGUCAUCUGCUUGCCCCAGCUCACAGCCGGACGCUGCGGCUUUUGGAAAAUAGCCACCAUGAAGCCGGUGGCCCUGGUCCCCCUCUCGAGGUAUCAUAAAGCCAUUCAUAACGGCAUAAACGCCUGACAACACUCCCUGAUGCCAGCCCGGGAGUCUCACUCUGUCAUCCAGACUCUCCACCCAGUGGCGUGAUGAUCAUAGCUCAUUGCAGCCUUGAACUCCUGAGCUCAAGCAAUCCUCCCACCUCAGCCUCCCAAGUAGCUGGGACCACAGGCAUGUCCCACCACACCUGGCUCUUUCCUCCUGGCCUCAAGCAAUCCUCCCACCUCAGCUUCCCAAAGUGCUGGGAUUACAGGUGUGAGCCACCAUGCCCAGCCGGACUCCAGUUAUAAUUCAAGAUUGACAUGGACGGGUAGAGGUCCCAAUCUUGAGGUCCCUACCAUACUGAGGUCCCUAUCAAUCAUAUUGUACUGUUUGGCCAAUAACAGUUAAGCAGGGGCCUGGCAUUGAAGUUCUGCCUCAGCAGUGGUGAGCGCCAAGGCUGCUGAAGAAGAGACUGAGAGAGGACUAAGUGACACCUUGAAUUUAUCCCAAAAGACAGAAGCCGGUCUGGGAAGGCUGGAAAAUGGGGUGCGUUCAAGGGAGCCCCGCUGUCUGGGAUCCUGGAAGGUCACAGGAAGGCUUCAGACCGUGGCAGAUUGUCCAGAGGACAGAGUUAACUGAUACCAGCAGGUCAGGGCAUCCACGUCAAGAACACGAUUUAGGAAUCUGGUGUUUUUCCAAAUACACUGAGAGUCGAAAUUGGAAGUGUGGCCAUCUCUGGGAUAGUAUUCUGAGGUGGGUGCAGGAUUUGCAGGGAGGACCCUCUGGGUGUCCACAUAUGUGACAGUCUUCAAGCUAUACAUUUAAGGUUUGUGUACUCUGUACCCUAUUCCUGUAUGUAAGAUGCAUUUUAAUUGCAACUUAUAAUUAAGUAAAAAUUAAAAGAAAGAAAAAAAUUAAAAGCCAAGAAAGAUAAAUCUACAGUAGUCCCCGCCUAUCUGCAGUUUUGCUUUCCGAGGUUUCAGUUACCCUCGGUCAAUGGGGGUCUGAAAAUAGGUGAGCACAGUACAAUAAGACAUUUAGAGAGAGAGAGAGGGAGAGAGAGGGAGAGAGAGGGAG
rnacentral:lncRNA from 10 species